UACGAAGGGGGCUAGCGUUGCUCGGAAUCACUGGGCGUAAAGCGCACGUAGGCGGAUUGUUAAGUCAGGGGUGAAAUCCUGGAGCUCAACUCCAGAACUGCCUUUGAUACUGACGGUCUUGAGUUCGGGAGAGGUGAGUGGAACUGCGAGUGUAGAGGUGAAAUUCGUAGAUAUUCGCAAGAACACCAGUGGCGAAGGCGGCUCACUGGCCCGAUACUGACGCUGAGGUGCGAAAGCGUGGGGAGCGAACAGG
rnacentral:rRNA from 1 species